rnacentral:other from 1 species
GCUUGCCUGCCCUGUUUGUGAGAGGCGAAAGAGUUGAUCCGGCAAAUUGGAUCUUUUGGGAGUCUACGUAUGGAGCACGGUGUGCAUGCUGAGCAUGUUGCUCAGAAGCCUUAUGUCUCCUUCAGGACACCCACCUAUUUUAUAGGCGGAUCUAAUUUUUCUCUUCCACGGCAGGGCGGGUUUAUC